ensembl:Y_RNA Y_RNA Y RNA
GGUUGGUCCACGUGAUGUUUACAACUAAUUGGUCACAGUCAGCUACAGAUUGAUUUGUUCCUUCUCCAUUCCCACUGCUUCACUUGACUAGCCUUCA